AUUAUUUUAAGCUAUAUAUUAGGAGUAAAUAAAAUUUAUGAAAUUAAAAAAUUUUGGCGGUAUUUUAAGCUUAUUAGAGGAAUUUGCUCUGUGAUGGACACAACGCCUUAAUCUUACUUAAUUUAGUAAUUUAAAUCAGUUUGUAUACCACUAUAUUAAUUAUAUUGAAUAGUUAUAUUUAAAAUUUUUUAAAAAAAAAUAUAUUAAGUCAAGGUGCAUCUAAUAAUUAUGAAUGAAGUGAAUUACAUUAAUUUUAAUGUAAUUUUUUACAUGAAAAAAUUAAUUAGGAUUUAAUAGUAAAAUACUAAUAUUAUGAGUAUUUGAAUCAAGCUCUAAAAUAUGCAC
rnacentral:rRNA from 1 species